GGGCGCUUGGUUUAGGGGUAUAACGUUCGCUUCGCAUGCGAAAGGUCCUGGGUUCAAUUCCCAGAGCGUCCA